ACUUGCUGGGAGGCAGGGCCGGGAGAGCCCGACUUCAGGACAACUUGGGCCUGCGGCAGUCGCCGGGAGGCCCAACCUUGGCGUGGAGGAGCCCACCGACCGGAGACCAUUUGGGGCCUGGAGAUGCCAUCGGAGGGCAGGAGCUCAUCCUGGAGAGGCCACCGUGAGGCCUGACCUGGGCCUGGGGAGCUUGGCUUGAGGAAGCUGUGGGCCGACCAAGGCCGCCAGGAGAUGGCUAAAGAAACAGGCUCAGAGAAUGUUAUUUGAUUGGACCGUGUUGCAUUUCUGGACAGUGCAGCUGAGAUCAGACUUUGUGUGUAACUCCACUAGCCUACCAGGGUGCCUCUCAUAAAGCAUUCCUUUCAGCUACGAUACAACAGAAGCAAAUAUUUGCCACUGGAAAAAAUAUUCAAAGACACUCUUAGGUUAAUCUAUAGCUGAUGACAGUCAGUCUAGUCUACAUAGCAAGCAGCUUCAAGAUAUGAUUACUUAGCUAAGAGGGAAAUGGGACGUGACUGCUGCCUCAUUCCCACGCCUCUCUGGACCUGAUAAUUUAGAGGAAGCUCACAUUCGCAAGAUAAAAAUUUUC
rnacentral:lncRNA from 10 species